UUCAAAUAUGCUGAGGAGCUUUAUCACUUCUUCUCGAUUAAGACUUGGAGACGAAUCAGCAGCUGGGGCAGUCUCAUCACUCUUAGGCUGAAAAAACCAAACAGGCUGUAAUCUUUAUGGAAGCAGACUGCCACACCUUUCUCACGUGGAGAUGCUGGGAGGUUUAACCACUGCACCAUCAAGGCUCCUCCGAAACAGCUAUUAAUCGUCUAAAACUUUUUGGAGGUGGACACCAAAUGAAACGAUUCAAGAGCAAGUGAAACAGUCCUGUGACCCCUUCAGACUGGUGCCAUGCCCCGCUGACCAUCCUAGAGGCAGUGUGCUCACGUAACUGCACCAAGCAAGACCAACGCUCUGGGUAAGUCACCCCACUUCCUGGCUCUAGAAUCUGACAGCUCCAAGGUAGAGUGGUGCAUUCAGUAAGGGCUGUGAACUAACUUUAAAAAACGAUGCUCUCUCCAUCUGGGCCCUGGGGUCACUCGGAAGGCAACUCCUCCACCUUCACUGAGUGCUAUUCCUUUCCAAAAGGAAGCCCAUGGCCUGGUGGGCUGACUAAAAGGGCUGCUUAGAAAAACUUCAUGAAAAGACGAGUGUGAAAGUCAACACGACUGUCUUCAGAGCUUAGGUUAUGUUCAGUUCUGACUGUAAUGAUAAAACAUGUCAAAACCAUUUUGUACACAGAUACACAGGAUCAUGCUCUAUUUUAAAAAGUAAUAAAGGAAUGAAAUAAAACACAGUGAAUAUCCAAGCACUGAAGAUUCCUGCCACGUUUCUGGGUAUAUUCACGCCAACACGAGCUGGCUGAAUAACCCUGAUGUGGAUGAACCGAGGCGUCCCAUCGGCGCACCUUGACAACUCGACUCUCUGUGAAGACUGUGCAGUAUCUCCUGGUCUUCCUUUGUCUGAUAGUUAAACUCCUCGAGGUGGGCGGCUCUAUUGUUUGCAUUCUGGGCCAGCA